rnacentral:tRNA from 4 species
GCGGGAAUAGCUCAAUUGGUAGAGCGUCAGCCUUCCAAGCUGAAUGUUGCGGGUUCGAGUCCCGUUUCCCGCUCAA